GGGGUCGAUAAAUUAAUAAUAAAGUGUUGGUUUGUAACCUAGAUCCAAGCCUCCUUCAUUGGAUUUUCAACAACAUCAAUAAGGUAUAUUUGUAUGUAUGUAUAUGUGCAGAUUUGUAUGUUUUGUUUUAUGUAUGUAUUCUGAUGCAUAUACUUGCAUAUUUAUACAUGCUCACAUAUACUUCAA